rnacentral:rRNA from 1 species
UACGUAGGGUGCAAGCGUUGUCCGGAAUUAUUGGGCGUAAAGGGCUCGUAGGCGGUCUGUCACGUCGGGAGUGAAAAACACGGGGCUUAACCCCGUGCCUGCUUCCGAUACGGGCAGACUAGAGGUAUGCAGGGGAGAACGGAAUUCCUGGUGUAGCGGUGAAAUGCGCAGAUAUCAGGAGGAACACCGGUGGCGAAGGCGGUUCUCUGGGCAUUUAACUGACGCUGAGGAGCGAAAGCAUGGGGGAGCGAACAGG